AGGCAUCAGAUUUUGGUGGACCAUUUAAUUAAACCAGCUAUGAAACAAGAGUGGCCCUGGACAGUUUUGGCAACCCAAACAAACUGAAAGUCAGAUAGAGACUGCAGCAUUGCUUCUCUCUCUUCUCCAGUUAGCUUAUUAGGUCCCCCAAAAUCUAUACGGAAAUUAAGUCAGGUGCAAAUAAAAAACCCAUUAACUCACGAAAACAACAAGAAACCAUACAAAUAAAUUACAGGAAGAUUUCAUAUUUUAAAUGAAUACAGUCAGAGGCUGUAAAACUUGAAGAAAGGAGCCAAGAUCGCCAGAAAUACAGUGGUGGUAUUAUAGCAAACAUGACUGACUGACUCGAGAUUACCAUAUUGUGAGGAAGUCCAAGCUAACCACAGGGAGGGGAACUGAGAAACCUAAACAACAGUGAAAACUGAAGUCCGAGAUAGAUGGCCCAAGCUGAGCCAUCUUGGGUAACACUACCAGGGGCCAAGACAGGUUCUCUUCAACAAGCCUGCCCAAGUCACAAACGAGGCCACCUUGGUAGGAGAAAGUAAGAAGAUAUGACCAGUUAUCUCCUCCAUCAGACAAAGGCACUAUUGAUUGUUCAGGAAAUUAAGUGGCCCCCUUUGCACCACAGUGCAAAAAAUGUACUCUUCUUUCCAUGAUUGUGAGGCCUGCCCAGCCAUGUGAAACUGUGAGUCAAUUUAACCUCUUCCAUUUAGAAAUUACACAGUCUCA
rnacentral:lncRNA from 1 species